GCUCCGGUGGUGUAGUCCGGCCAAAAAUCAGAUGGCUAAGCAUCAGGGGCUCAAGAUUCCUGGACCCGGGUUCGAAUCCCGGCCGGAGCACCA
rnacentral:tRNA from 1 species